rnacentral:tRNA from 1 species
GGGAAGGUGGCUCAGUGGUAGAGCACUUGCCUUCCAUGCAUGAGGCCCUGGGUUC